AUGCACGAGCUCCCGGCGUUCUUCUCCCUCUCUCCCUCUCCCUCCCUCCCUGGUUUCCUGGCAAAAAAGAAAAAAAAGAAAAAGAAAGAAAAAAAAGAAAAAAAAAAAAAAGUCCUCCGGCUGGGCAGGGAGCCUGCAGGUUCACCCACGGCCCGGCGAGGGGAGGGCGCGCAGGGCCCGGCGCUCGGCAGCCCCCGGGGAAGCGCGGCGGGGGCGGCUCAGCAGCAGCCUGCGUUCACCAUCCUCGGGGGCCCGUCGCCGGGAACGUGGCGCCCAAGUUCACCCGCGGUUCCGGCUCCAAGCGCCCAGUCGCAGCCGCAGCAGCAGCCGCCGCCGCCGCCGCCGCCGCCAGCCCGUGCGUCCUCCUCCUCCUCCUCCUCCUCCUCCCCCUGCUGCUCCGCGUCCUCCUCCUCCUCCACCGCCCACUCCGCCGCCGCCGCUGCUGCCGCCUCCUGCUCGUGCGGGAAGGGCCUCCGCCGCUCCUCGCCUCUCGCCUCUGCUUCUCCUUCCCUCCUCGCCGCGCUCCCCUCCAGAACGUUCAUCCGUAAUCUACAUAACUCCUCCUUCCCGGGUCCGCCGAGCUCCGGCCCUCCGCGCGCGCACACGCGCACACACACCCCGGCGCGCGCGCGCACACGGAUCUGCACGGGAGCACGCGCACACACACGUGCACACCCCAGCGCGCGCGCGCACACACGGAUCUGCACAGGAGCACACACGUGCACACCCCAGCGCGCGCGCACACACACGGAUCUGCACGGGAGCACGCACACACACGUGCACACCCCAGCGCGCGCGCGCACACACGGAUCUGCACAGGAGCACACACGUGCACACCCCAGCGCGCGCGCACACACGUGCACACCCCAGCGCGCGCGCACACACACGGAUCUGCACGGGAGCACGCACACACACACGUGCACACCCCAGCGAGCGCACACACACAGAUCUGCACAGGAGCACACACACGUGCACACCCUAGGGCGCGCACACACACGUGCACACGCCAGAGUGCGCACACACACGGAUCUGCACAGGAGCAUACACACACGUGCACACCCUAGAGCGCGCACACACACGUGCACACCCCAGCGCGUGCACACACAGAUCUGCACAGGAGCGCACACACACGUGCACACCCCAGCGCGCGCGCACACACACAGAUCUGCACAGGCGCGCACACACACACGUGCACACCCCAGCGCGUGCACACACAGAUCUGCACAGGAGCGCACACACACGUGCACACCCCAGCGCGCGCGCACACACACAGAUCUGCACAGGCGCGCGCACACACACACGUGCACACCCCAGCGCGCGCACACACACACAGAUCCGCACAGGAGCACACACACAACUCCACACACGCCCGCGCGCGCUCUCCUUAAAGGAGACGGGCUGCGAAGGGGACCCCCAGCCCCACCCCCACCCCCACGG
rnacentral:lncRNA from 1 species